UACGUAGGGUGCGAGCGUUGUCCGGAAUUAUUGGGCUAAAGGGCUCGUAGGCGGUCUGUCGCGUCGAUCGUGAAAACUUGGGGCUUAACCCUGAGCUUGCGGUCGAUACGGGCAUGACUGGAGUUCGGCAGGGGAGACUGGAAUUCCUGGUGUAGCGGUGAAAAUGCGCAGAUAUCAGGAGGAACACCGGUGGCGAAGGCGGGUCUCUGGGCCGAUACUGACGCUGAGGAGCGAAAGCGUGGGGAGCGAACAGG
rnacentral:rRNA from 1 species